GAUCUGGCUCAGGACGAACGCUGGCGGCGCGCCUAACACAUGCAAGUCGAACGAGCGAGAGAGAGCUUGCUUUCUCGAGCGAGUGGCGAACGGGUGAGUAACGCGUGAGGAACCUGCCUCAAAGAGGGGGACAACAGUUGGAAACGACUGCUAAUACCGCAUAAGCCCACGACCCGGCAUCGGGAAGAGGGAAAAGGAGCAAUCCGCUUUGAGAUGGCCUCGCGUCCGAUUAGCUAGUUGG
rnacentral:rRNA from 1 species